rnacentral:rRNA from 1 species
CCUACGGGAGGCAGCAGUGGGGAAUUUUGGACAAUGGGCGAAAGCCUGAUCCAGCCAUGCCGCGUGGGUGAAGAAGGCCUUCGGGUUGUAAAGCUCUUUCAGCCGGAAAGAAAUCGCGCAGGCUAAUACUCUGCGUGGAUGACGGUACCGGAAGAAGAAGCACCGGCUAACUACGUGCCAGCAGCCGCGGUAAUACGUAGGGUGCGAGCGUUAAUCGGAAUUACUGGGCGUAAAGCGUGCGCAGGCGGUUAUAUAAGACAGAUGUGAAAUCCCCGGGCUCAACCUGGGAACUGCGUUUGUGACUGUAUGACUAGAGUACGGCAGAGGGAGGUGGAAUUCCGCGUGUAGCAGUGAAAUGCGUAGAUAUGCGGAGGAACACCGAUGGCGAAGGCAGCCUCCUGGGCCAGUACUGACGCUCAUGCACGAAAGCGUGGGGAGCAAACAGGAUUAGAUACCCUGGUAGUCCACGCCCUAAACGAUGUCAACUAGUUGUUCGGUGAGGAGACUCAUUGAGUAACGCAGCGACGCGNGAGUUAAGUACCGCCGUUGGGAGGUACGGCCGCGAAGGUUAAACGUUACGAAGGAAGUUAGACGGCGNGAGACGNGCGACGGCGACGACGAGGGAGGAGG